rnacentral:tRNA from 1 species
GAGUGUAGCUCAGUGGUAGAGCGCUUGACUAACAUGUGUGAGUUCCUGGGUUUAAUUCCCAGUGCUGCA